rnacentral:rRNA from 1 species
UGCCCAAGAGAUCGGGAUAACACCUGGAAACAGAUGCUAAUACCGGAUAACAACAGAUGAUGCCUAUCAACUGUUUAAAAGAUGGUUCUGCUAUCACUCUUGGAUGGACCUGCGGUGCAUUAGCUAGUUGGUAGGGUAACGGCCUACCAAGGCGAUGAUGCAUAGCCGAGUUGAGAGACUGAUCGGCCACAUUGGGACUGAGACACGGCCCAAACUCCUACGGGAGGCAGCAGC